GCCAGGGCCGGCAUCUCGACAACACCAUCGGACGCCAUCCAAGACGCCAUCCGGGACGCCAUCCGGGACAGAGCCCCCCAUUUCCCACCUCCACUCCGGGGGGCAUUUUCCCUGUCUAAGGGCUGGGAUCCAGCAAGUGUCCCAGGCCAGUCCCAGCCUCCCUGCAUCUUAAUGUCCCCAUCUCCCACUGGGACAGCGAUGCCAGCUCGCUUAAUGACCUGCUGUGACAAGUGACUCCCCAACCUCCAACCACGGACUCGAAGCAAAGGUUUAUUUCUGGCCCAAAUUCCACGCCUCUGCUCAUCAGAGAGAUGUGGCCAAGCCGCCCCACCCAAGGCCCACGAGCUCUAACCCAGGCCACGUUCAGCCUUUGUCAUCCAAGCAGCCGUCAUUCCAUUCUGAUGCUGUCCCGAAAUCUUCUGCAAGCAGUAAUGGUGCAGAACUGUAGACAAUUCACAGAAAAGACAGAUACAUCUGGGUUUCUCAUGGCUUUAAGACCGUGCCAUUGAGCUGGGUGGUUCUGAGCUGCACAUCUGCUGUAAGCUUCAGCAAAUCACCCCAAGAGCUGACGUGUGGGUAAAUACCACGCCUGGGCCACAUGGGCCCUGCAGAAAUGUCACCUGGAUACCCGAAGACAUCACCAGAGACAGAGUGCAAACCAGGACAUCCAUAGCCUGGAACUGCCAUGUUGAAAAUAUACUGUUUCUAUGCCAGUAAGUCGGAACGUGUAGCCCCAGAUGAGGGGCUCUACAAGACUGUCCAAGGGUUCCACAGCUCUGGGGCACACCAUCAGCUCGGGCGGUCUAGUUACUUGGCGAGGUCUUGGCUCCGAGGACCUUGCUUUAGGGUCCCUUCCAAUUGUCCUGGUUGUCCUCUUAGUUACAUCAGUGACCCCCUGCAUGUUGGAUUCUUUCAAGAGUCAUAAAUGCUUGUCAGCAGCCAUGAACUUGCAGAUGAUCUUCAUGAACAUUUCUCUGAAUCACUGAAAGGACCUGCUGAGCUUCUAGUCUGUGAGCUGGGAUGUCUGUGGAAAAGAAACAGAGCUGACCAAGUCAUGCUGCAUAGCUUGGUCACAUUCUCAGUUCAGUUGAGGGGAUAACCACUAGAUACAGCCCCUGGCCCCCAGCUCAGAGCCAGACGUUUCCCUGGAGUGCUGGCUCUGAUCAGAAACAAAGCACAAAGUGUGCAUUUUAGGUCCUUGUCAGCUGAUUCCGUGAAAGCAAACCGAUCAGCUGCAAACCAUCGGCCUGAACAGUGGCGUCUGCUGUAAAGGGUGAUGAUGUGGAGCAGCUGUGCCCCAGAAUCGGCCAUCGUCUCCAUUGACCUGACCAUGGGAUGGGAGAGAAGUGCCCGACUUCGCUCUCUCUCCUGUGCCAGCCAGAGAUAGUGGGGCUGAGCUACCACCUUGCUCCCCUUCGCAGCCCCUGGGCCCUGGAGGGUGGACUGGGACAACUUGGCCCUUGUCACAGUGUCCUCCCGCCACCCUGAGGCUGCUGGGGCGCUGCCCUCUGCGCCGUGCUGAUGGGAGGUGCAGCGUGGCGCCCCUCCUCCACACCGCCUGCUCCGGAUGUGGAAGAAGUGGGGACUCAGCCCCUAAAGUGGCAGAGAUCAGGGAGGGCCUGAGCCCAUUAUUAACCCCCAAGCACCCUAUCCCCAGUAAGAUGUGCCGAACACAGCUAACCCUCCUGAAGAGUCCCCAGUUUCAGCCAUUUUUUCAGAGACACAACAGCUAUCAAAUCCCUCGUGUCACCCUGAGCUCUCAUGGAACUGCCAUGAUGGCUGUGGCUGUCCUGGAUGCCCUACACCUGCUUGGACCAAUCACAGGCCUAUACGUGGACCAAUCACAGGAUUGCAGCUGUUGCUGUGUUUCCCCCCAAAUAAGACCUAACCGGAAAAUAAUCAGCCUUGAAAACUGGAGCCCAAGAAUGGCAGCCUCAAUCACCUUGCCUUACCUGCCACUACAGAGCAGCCACUGAGCAAGAGAGUAGUGAUGUGCAGUCUUCUCCAUGACACUGGCCAUCACCAUGAUGCCGACAGAUGGAAUGAGGGUUGUCUCCGGCCUGCACAAGCCUUGGAUCCUGCAUCAGCCCACAGUUCAGAUGGCUGCCAACCCCGGGCAUAGAACGGACAUCAAGGCCUUCCCUGUGUGUGACCAUAGGCUGAGCUGGCCACAUUUGUCCCAGCUGACCCCUCCUGGGGCUUGCAGAGUGCCUGUGGCUGGAGCCAGGCCUGGCCUGGGUGCUGGGUGUGCGGCUGGCUCCCCACAGACCUGGCUGGUCUGGGACAUGGAAGAGAUUACGAGCAGCUCACUGCGGUAAGGCCUGCACAGCAGCAGUGUCCACGCGCUCUCUGGACAAACUAGGGAGGCAAAGCCACUGCAGGGAGCCCUGCUCCUCUCACCUCUCGUCCAACUCCUGCUGUCCCAGGCUGUCCUGGUUUCUUCGAAGACUGAAACCCACUAGGGCAGGGGGUCAAUGUGAUGUCCAGUGCCCUGGGCCCAGGAGGUGGCAGUGACAAUGCAGGAAGUGCCCAGGGAAGGUCUAGUUGGAGAUCCAGUGUCAGGGCAGCAGGUGAGCUUGGUGUGGAGGGAGAAUGACACAGGGCAAACCAGGUCGGGCGGUGCUGUCACUUGGGACCAGUGGGGGACAGGGAC
ensembl:lncRNA